rnacentral:rRNA from 1 species
UACGAAGGGUGCAAACGUUGCUCGGAAUUAUUGGGCGUAAAGCGCACGUAGGCGGCCUAACAAGUCGGAUGUGAAAUCCCUUGGCUCAACCAAGGAAGUGCAUCCGAAACUGCUAGGCUUGAGUACUUAAGAGGAUCGCGGAAUUCCCGGUGUAGAGGUGAAAUUCGUAGAUAUCGGGAGGAACACCAGUGGCGAAGGCGGCGAUCUGGGAAGAUACUGACGCUGAGGUGCGAAAGCGUGGGGAGCAAACAGG